UCUGCUCACUGUCUCCUCUGCUAGGUCCCCUUGAGGGCCAGAACCUCGCUGCACCAGUGGAUGUCACCUGAGAAGUGGUCACAGUGUUCACUGGGCAGGUUAACUUAUUCCACAAGUACUUGGACACGCAACCCUGAAGGAGGCGUGGUUCUGUCGGCCCCAGAAUAUGAGCUCGCGCAAUCCUCACGGCAUUCCUGUUGGGUACUCGCCAUCGCCUUCCCAUUUUACAGCACUUCACGCACCUGGCCUCGUGCAGCGAGAGCUCCUCUGGGCCUGGCUCCUGUCACUCAGCACGAUGAUUGUGAGUUUCCUUCCUGCGCUGCAUAGGUGAGGAGCUCGUCUCUGCUCACUACUGAGCACCGUUCACCGUGUGGACACACAGAGCUGUGCAUAUUCCUUCACCUGUUGGGAGACAUGUGGGUUGCUCCCUUUUGGAGAUACUAUGAAUGUGGCUGUCAUGAACAUUCAUGCCCAAGACAACAAAAACACCGACAACUCCAGCGAGGUCAAGCGCUGCACUUCCACAGACAUCCCCACCGCUCCUCUGGUGCGUCCUUCCACCACUGCCCUGGAGCUGUUCCAAGGCUCCUCAGCCUCCCUGCCAACUGACUGACUGCCGGACACGUUCAACCCAGAGAUCUUACAGUUCAAAAUGCCGCGUUGUGGCCACUUGUUGACGGGCGCCUUCCACCAGACGGGGAAACAGCUUUACUGUGCAGCAGGAGGUGCCUGCGGAGUUGCUUCACCGGGUCUGGAUGAGUUAACCUUGAUGCCCUUCCUCCGGCAGAGAGGGACUUCUGUGCACAACACGCCAACCAGAGGAGCCCGUCUCAUCAGAAAGGCGGGCUCUCCAGCACAGCUAGAGCAGGUGGGACAAUGAGUGAGGCAAGAGGGGCUCAGGCAGCCCAGCUGACGGAUUAACUGUGAGUGCGUGGGGUGGGAGCGGCCAGAGAGCGGAGGUGGGAAGCGAGGCUUGAGGAAGAGGGGCAGCCGGCAGCAGGGGCUGAUGUCUCUGAGAAGAGAAGCCCAUCCGUGAAAGGCCGAAACUUCAAAUAUUCAACUUGCAUACCUGGGGAUCCUUGUGUUCUUUUGCUAGCAUUUGUUUUAAGUAUGCAGGGCCCACUCCCACAUUCUCUGAACCCUGCCUGUCCUGGACGCCAGGAGCUUUGGUCUCCAUCACUGGGAGAGUCCCUAACAGUGUGUCCCAGUGGAGCAUGACAGAAAGAGUUCUGGCUGGAAAGACUUUCAAACCAAGAUCAUCAGUCCCCCAUCCAGAGGCAGGGAAAACCUCAGUGGAGCCUCAAGGAGCACCCUACUCCAGGCAACAUGGUUUCUCCCUGUGCCCACCAAGAAGAGUAAUCCCCAGAGAGAUAAAGAAAUGAUUCACUUCAUGAAAGUAUUUACCUUUCACCCACAGUGUCUCCAGGAGGUCUGCCCGUGGCGUACGUGUGCUGUCUGCCCAGCACCACCAGUUCUGGGAGCAGCACGGCCUGUUUCCUGGAAGCUACAUCCACGUGCAUUGCAUCCAUACGACUCCUGUGUGCUUUGUUCCCAGGAUUGGUUAUGGGCUUGGGCCUGACUCAAGACUGCGUGACUGCAGGGCUCAGCCUGACUGUUACUAAAGUGUGCCCCAUUCCCUGAACGUGUAGACUUGGGCAGUGAAGGAGGGGGAGCCCUCUCUCUUUUUGACUGUGGCUAGGCAAUAAAAGUCUAGGAAGCUCUCAGCAGCCAGGGAGGAAGGCAGGCGCUGGAGCGAUAGGGGCCAGUGGGGCCAGGAUGAGGGAGAAUUUCCUACAGCGCUGGUGUUCCAGUUCUGAUGAGCCUCAGGCCCACAGGCAUCAUGGCCCCCCACGCAGCUACCCUGGCUUCUGUGGCAAAGGACGAAGAUGAACCCUGGCAUGAUUUCAUUGUUUUAUUAAAUUUCAUUGUCUCCUUUUCACUUAUCUUAUUCAAGUUGGGUUUCUUUCACUUGCUAAUAAAAGUCUGAGCAGAUAGAUUACUAAAAAUGAUUUUGUUUCACCGACUUUAACUCAUUCCAGCAUUAUUUACUGAGGCACCGCUGUGUGCUAGGUGGCAUUCCAGGUGCUGCGUAUUUAUCCAGGAGCCAGCCAGAAGCCCCACCCUGUGGAGUCUGUGUCUUCACCUACAGGAAAUUGCUCAUCCCGUCAUGGAUUCACAGACACUUACUGAAUUCCUAAUAAAUAAACUCUUCAUUCAGUAGCGUUAAAUAAGUUUCUUGAAGCUAGACUGUUGAUAUUUUGAGAGAUAUUGUCCAUACUCCUGGUCACCUCUGAUUUAAGGGCAUGCAGGACCUGAGCAUUUUACCAACCUACUUAGUGCAUUAGCCAGGGUUCUCUAGAGGGACAGAACUCAUAGGAUCUAUGUAUAUAUGAAAAGGGAGUUUAUUAAGGGGAAUUGACUUACAUCAAGAGUGGUUUGCCAGGGGCUCUCGGGCCUUUGGCCACAGACUGAAGGCUGCGCUGUCGGCUUCCCGACUUUUGAGGUUUUGGGACUCCUCGGACUGAGCCACCACUGGCUUCCUUGCUCCUCGACUUGGAGGCAGACUUUCAUGGGACUUCACCUUGUGAUCCUGUGAGUCCGUUCUCCUUAAUAAACUCCCUUUCAUGUACACAUAUAUCCUAUUAGUUCUGAGGAAGAGUGGAAGUUGCACUUAACUGAGAACGUGUUUAGUCAUUUCCCAUUAUGCAAAACACUGCGGGGAUUUCUCCAGCCCUGCUAUUAUGUGGGAGAACAGGUCUCAGGUAAAAGUUCAAAAUUAUCGAAGUGAAGAAAGUAAUUCACUAAAGGGUCUGAUGAUCAAGCUUGUCAGCUGCUAAUAAGACAGCUGAGAAGAAGACUGAGCUGAAUGUUGCACGUGGAAAUGCCAAAGUCUUCACUGAUGUCAAUAAAAAUAAAAAAAAAUAAAAAAAUAAAAAUAAAAAUAAAAAAAAAUAAAAAAAUAAAAAAAAAAAACUGGUUUUGAUGCACAGGUGAGACUAAUAUCUCUAAUUGUCAAUUGUCCAUAAUUAUUGAUAAAUUAGCUUUCCCUCCGCCUUUUAAAGUCUGGAGUUUGGGCUGCUAUGCCAUUCUUAUCUAGUGCCAAUAUUUACAACACAAAGAAAUUUAGCAUGUUUUAAACAAAUAACACUACUUAUAAGUAGAAUUCAAGUCUUUGUCUAAUCCAAUGUACAAAAAAAAUUGUAUUUAUGUCCUGAGUUUCACAAUUUUUCAUCUUAAACUAUUUCAGUUUCUCAAUUUUUAAUCACUUGUUCUGGCCACAGAACCAGCCAACAAUUCACGCGCUGGACAUGUUAUUUGAAUGUAUGGUUUUCUGUUGUGUUUGGAUGGGACUUACUUUCUAUUAUUAGUCUAUUAUUUCUAAGUGAAGGACAUGCUAAAAAUGCCUCCAAAACCCAUCGUAUAAUUCAUCCUCCUGGUGUCUUACUUUGUAGUCUUAGGAUUAAAGGGAGAUCAUUCUGAAACAUCGAAAUUUGCAUGUUAAAGGGGACUGCCUGAAAGGAGGAAGCGCUUUUCUCAGGAAACCAUAAUUACACAACAGAAUAAGAAAGUGGUGAUCGCAGUGGCCUGCGCCUAAACACCGCCUUCUUCAGGAUCGUAAAUUCCUAAGAAUCCAGAGCCGAAAGAGACCCUGCAGAUAGAAAAUCAAGUUCAAGCCUGUCGUUUAAACGAUGGGAACUUGAUGCACACACACAAGGAAAUUAACCGACUUUCAUAGGUUAACUUUGCCCAGUGAUGACUGAGAAUACCUAAAAUAAAUGACUUUCCAUGAGUCCUUGUAUGAAGAUUCUGGGUGACAGGGGAAAUGAAUUAGAAAUGGGUAAAUAUACAUGCACCCCAGUUACAUAGCAGCAAAAUCAGAGCUUGGAAUUCCUGCCUCUUUCCUAAUGCUGUGACUGACCUCCACUGCAAUGCUGAGUUGCACUAAUUAGUUCUCAUCCAGAUUCGCCGUCACGUUUUCUAAAGUCCCAUUCCUAAAUAUACUCUUCUAGUCACCUCAGAUGUGAAGAUUUAAGAAUAGACACUUUGUGUGAGCCGAGGUUGUGCCACUGCACUCCAGCCUGGGCGACAGAGCCAGACUCCAUCUCAAAAAAACAAAAAAGAAUAGACACUUUGUAUGUCUUUAUUAAUCACAAUUUGGGGAAUAUGCAACGCAUAUAGAAUGAAGAGUAUCCGCAAAUGGUUAAAUGCCACAAGUACACUUUAAAAAUAAAAUCAGAACCCGGGUCAGGCAUGGUGGCUCAUGCCUGUAAUCCCAGCACUUUGAGAGGCCAAGGCAGGUGGAUCACCUGAGGUCAGGAGUUUGAGACCAGCCUGACCAACACGGUGAAACCCCAUCUCGACUAAAAAAUACAAAAAUUAGCAGGCGUGGUGGUGGGUGCCUGUAAUCCCAGCUACUCGGGAGGCUGAGGCAGGAGAAUCACUUGAACCCAGGAGGCGGAGGUUGCAGUGAGCCAAGAUCAUGCCAUUGCACUCCAGCCUGGGCAACAGAGCAAGAUUCUGCCUCAAAAAAAAAAAAAAAAAAAUCAGAACACACUGGAGGACGUUAGUAAACCCAGCUGUCAGAAAAUGUUUAAAUAUAGGGCAAGUAAGCAAAGUCCUCAUCUAUCAAUCUCUGUUUUCAGACUCUUCAUCUUAGUGCACUCUGGCUGCCAAAACAAAAUAGCAUAAACUGGACUGCAUAUAAAUAGCAUAAAUAAAUUUCUCACGAUGUGAGAGGCUGGGAAGUCCAACACACCAGCGAUUUCAUGUUCCAGUUCAUAAACAGCAUCUUCCCACUGCAUCCCCACAUGGUGGAAGGUGCAGAGCAGCUCUCUGGGGCCUCUUUCAUGAGGCCAUUCAUCCCAUUCAUGAGGGCUCCACCCUCCUGAUCUAAUCCCCUUCCAACCCAUGUCCUACUACCAUCCCUUUGAGGGUUAGGAUUUUAACAUGAAUUUAGGGGCAAUACAGGUAUUUGGACCAUAGCAGAUAUUUACUACAAUAAUAGCCUUUUAACCACAUCUUCAUAUAACACAAUAGAUCAAAUGAUCAAAAAAUUAGUGUUAUUCAUAUAAAAAUAUACAUACAUUCUAAUCAUGAAUAAGCAAAAAAAAAAAAAAAAAAAAAGCUGAAAUUCUGUCAUAAAACAACAGGAAUGUAUUCCCCCACAGUUCUGGAGGCCCGAGGUCUGAGGUCAGGUGUAAGGGCCGCCUUCCCUCUGAAGGCUCUGAGGGAGGACCUGUCCUUCCUCCCCAGCUCCAGGCAGUACCUGCGUUCCUUCGUUAGUGACAGCCUCGCUCCCACCUCUGCCUCUGUCAGCGCGUGGUGUCCUAAGCUAUGUGUGUGUAUGUGCCACAUUUCCCCCUUUGUGUGAAGACACCAGCCAUUGCCUUGGGGCCCAUCCAAAUCCAGGAUGACCUCAUCUUGGUUAAUUACACCUAUUUCCAAAUAAGGUAACAUUCAGAGGUUCCAGGUGAACAUGGAUUUUUGGAGGCCACCUUUCAGCCCAGCACAUGAACAUUCUACAAAAUAACUGGCCAGUAGCCCUCAAAAACCUGAAGAUCUUAAAAAAGAAAGAUUCAGACACUGUCACAAAUAAGAACAGGGGUCCCCAAUCCCUGGUCCGUGGCCUGUUAGAAAUCAGGCCACACAGCAAGAGUUGAGUGGCAGGCCAAGGAGCAUUACCACCUGAGCUCUGCCUCCCAUCAGAUCAGUGGCAGCAUUCGAUUCUCAUAGGAGGCCAGACCCUAUUGUGAGGGACCUAGGUCAUGCACUCCUUAUGAGAACCUAAUGCCUGAUGAUCUGAGGUGGAACAGUUUCAUCCUGGAAACAUCCCCCAGACCCCCAUCCAUGGAAAAAUUGUCUUCCACAAAACCUGUCCCUGGUGCCAAAAUGGUUGGGGACCACUGGAUUAGAAGACAGAAAAAGACAAGGCAACUCAUUCACCUAAUCCUAAGCCGGAUGUUGCCCCAGAAAAGGCCAUUAGUAGGACAACUGAAGGGAUCUGAGUAAGGUCUGUGGAGGGCUUCAUAGCAGGUGCCAAAGUGAGUUCCUUGGUUUCCAUGUUGUACAACAGUUAGGUAUGUCCUUCAUAUUAGAAAGCUGGGUCACCAGUAUACCAGAAAUCUCUGUACUAUUUUCACAGCUUUUCUGUAUGUCCAAAAUAUAUUUUAAACAAAAUGUUUAAACAUUAGUAUGACUAAAGAAGAUGGACACUGCACAGCUAAGACGUUUUAAUGUAAUAGAAUGUAAAGAACCUUGCAUUCCACAAUUUGAAAGCACACAUUCUUUCCCUGCACACUAAGAACGGUUAUAAAAACCACCUGCAAAGCAGACCACAAAGCAAUUCUCAACAAAUACCCAAGAAUUGGGAUCAAAUGAAGCACAUCCACCAUGAGGCUAUAAAAUUAGAAAAUUAUGACAAAAAGAUAACUACAGCCUGCCCUAUGUACAUGUGGACAUCACACAUAUAAACACAUACUUUUACACACACACAAAAUCAGGGCCAAAGAAAAAGCCAAAAAGAAAAUGAUUAUUUUAAGUGAGCAGAAAUGAAAUCCAUGUGGGAUAAUGCAAGGAUGGAAAGAGACUCGUAGUCAUCAAUACAUAUGUCAGGAAAAAAGAUGGGCACUGAGCUUCAAAAGAAGAAGCUAAGUGAGCAAUCAGUAAAAUUAGUAAUGAAUAAAGAAGCCCCAGAGAACAAGGGAGACAGAAGCUACAGUGUUCACUGCAGCAGACUCUUUAGCAUUCAAAAGUGGAAAAACCCUGACUGUCCAUAGCAGAGGAAGACAGACGCUAGGGUUUAUCCACGUAAUAGCAUACACGACAGCUGUCAUGAUGGGUGAGCUGGAGCUACCUGUGCAUAGCAGCUACAUCUCAAAAGCAAAAUGUGAAACAAAAAGCAAGUGACAUAAAGGCACAUAUAGGCUAAUGCAAUUUAUGUGUUUUAAACACACAGAAUACCUGGAAAGCACAAAGUAUGGGAUAUUUUUAGAAGCAAACAAGUAUCAUACAAGUGCAAAAGCUUGCCUGAUCAUGGUACUCACUUACUUCAGAAGAGUGAUUAUUUCUCAGAGGAGAGAAUGAGAGCAGGAAUUAAUGAGCUUCAGCUUUUUCAGUGUUGCUAUUUAUUAAAAAAAGAAAGGAAGGAAAGAAAGGAA
rnacentral:lncRNA from 10 species